rnacentral:rRNA from 1 species
UCAGCAGUCCAAAAUAUUAGUCAAUGCUCGAAAGAGUGAACUAGCUAACUGAAAUCAAUUAUAAAAAUUGAUAAUAUAAGGGAAAAUAAUGAUAUUACCUUAUUAUUAGUGUCGUCCAAAACUGGUGCCAGAAGACUCGGUAAGGCCAGAGACACAAACGUUAAUCGUCUUAAUCAGGCGUAAAGGGUUUGUAGGCGGCUUUUAAUUAACUUAUAUAUAUAUAAAAAAAAUAAGUUAAGAAUAAAAGCUAGAAUCAAAUAGAGGAUAUAUCAAAUAAUGCUUAGAGUAGGUCUGAUAUCCUUAGAUACUAAGUAGAAUAUUAAAGGCGAAAGCUUUUUUCCAUUAAUGAUUGACGCUCAGAAACGAAGGUGAGGAUAGGAAAUAGGAUUAGAUACCCAAAAUACCCCUCUCUGUCAACGAUGAAUGGUAAUUAUUAAUAAAUUUAUUAUUAAUGAUAAUGUUAACACGAUAACCAUUCCGCCUUGUGAGUACAACUGCAAAGUUGAAAACAAAAAAAUUAGUCGGUUUCGGAGCAAACGAAGUGAAGCAUGUUAUUUAAUUCGAUAAAUCCGCAAAAAC